rnacentral:rRNA from 1 species
UCCCGAAACCCAAUGGCGCAAUGAAACGUGAAGGCCCCUAGUGGGUUGCGUUGCGAUCCCGGACCGCACAGGGGUCCGAUAAAGGGCGCAGCAACGGCCCGUCCCAGGCGCUCACACGUCGCCGGGGCGGAGCGAGAGCGCACACGUUGGCACCCGAAAGAUGGUGAACUAUGCCCGGGCAGGGCGAGGCCAG